GGGUUGUGAGGUUAAGCGACUAAGCGUACACGGUGGAUGCCCUGGCAGUCAGAGGCGAUGAAGGACGUGCUAAUCUGCGAUAAGCGCCGGUAAGGUGAUAUGAACCGUUAUAACCGGCGAUUUCCGAAUGGGGAAACCCAGUGUGAUUCGUCACACUAUCAUUAACUGAAUCCAUAGGUUAAUGAGGCGAACCGGGGGAACUGAAACAUCUAAGUACCCCGAGGAAAAGAAAUCAACCGAGAUUCCCCCAGUAGCGGCGAGCGAACGGGGAGGAGCCCAGAGCCUGAAUCAGCAUGUGUGUUAGUGGAAGCGUCUGGAAAGGUGCGCGAUACAGGGUGACAGCCCCGUACACAAAAGCGCAUGUGCUGUGAGCUCGAUGAGUAGGGCGGGACACGUGGUAUCCUGUCUGAAUAUGGGGGGACCAUCCUCCAAGGCUAAAUACUCCUGACUGACCGAUAGUGAACCAGUACCGUGAGGGAAAGGCGAAAAGAACCCCGGCGAGGGGAGUGAAAAAGAACCUGAAACCGUGUACGUACAAGCAGUGGGAGCACAGGUUUACCUGUGUGACUGCGUACCUUUUGUAUAAUGGGUCAGCGACUUAUAUUCUGUAGCAAGGUUAACCGUAUAGGGGAGCCGUAGGGAAACCGAGUCUUAACCGGGCGUUAAGUUGCAGGGUAUAGACCCGAAACCCGGUGAUCUAGCCAUGGGCAGGUUGAAGGUUGGGUAACACUAACUGGAGGACCGAACCGACUAAUGUUGAAAAAUUAGCGGAUGACCUGUGGCUGGGGGUGAAAGGCCAAUCAAACCGGGAGAUAGCUGGUUCUCCCCGAAAGCUAUUUAGGUAGCGCCUCGUGAAUUCAUCUCCGGGGGUAGAGCACUGUUUCGGCUAGGGGGCCAUCCCGGCUUACCAACCCGAUGCAAACUGCGAAUACCGGAGAAUGUUAUCACGGGAGACACACGGCGGGUGCUAACGUCCGUCGUGAAGAGGGAAACAACCCAGACCGCCAGCUAAGGUCCCAAAGUCAUGGUUAAGUGGGAAACGAUGUGGGAAGGCCCAGACAGCCAGGAUGUUGGCUUAGAAGCAGCCAUCAUUUAAAGAAAGCGUAAUAGCUCACUGGUCGAGUCGGCCUGCGCGGAAGAUGUAACGGGGCUAAACCAUGCACCGAAGCUGCGGCAGCGAACGUAUCACCCAAGACAACUUUACGGAGUUGACGAUUGACGGAGCGAAGCGACGUCAAAGCGUUCAUUAAAGUCGAGUUGGCUUAGGGAUACGUUCGUUGGGUAGGGGAGCGUUCUGUAAGCCUGUGAAGGUGUGUCGUGAGGCAUGCUGGAGGUAUCAGAAGUGCGAAUGCUGACAUAAGUAACGAUAAAGCGGGUGAAAAGCCCGCUCGCCGGAAGACCAAGGGUUCCUGUCCAACGUUAAUCGGGGCAGGGUGAGUCGACCCCUAAGGCGAGGCCGAAAGGCGUAGUCGAUGGGAAACGGGUUAAUAUUCCCGUACUUGGUGUUACUGCGAAGGGGGGACGGAGAAGGCUAUGUUGGCCGGGCGACGGUUGUCCCGGUUUAAGCGUGUAGGUGUGUGUUCCAGGUAAAUCCGGUUCACUUUAACACUGAGGCGUGACGACGAGGCACUACGGUGCUGAAGCAACAAAUGCCCUGCUUCCAGGAAAAGCCUCUAAGCAUCAGGUAACAC
rnacentral:rRNA from 1 species